AACGAACGCUGGCGGCAUGCCUAACACAUGCAAGUCGAACGAAGGCUUCGGCCUUAGUGGCGCACGGGUGCGUAACGCGUGGGAACCUGCCCCUCGGUUCGGAAUAACAGUUAGAAAUGACUGCUAAUACCGGAUGAUGACUUCGGUCCAAAGAUUUAUCGCCGAGGGAUGGGCCCGCGUAGGAUUAGCUAGUUGGUGGGGUAAAGGCCUACCAAGGCGACGAUCCUUAGCUGGUCUGAGAGGAUGAUCAGCCACACUGGGACUGAGACACGGCCCAGACUCCUACGGGAGGCAGCAGUGGGGAAUAUUGGACAAUGGGCGAAAGCCUGAUCCAGCAAUGCCGCGUGAGUGAUGAAGGCCUUAGGGUUGUAAAACUCUUUCGUGGGGGACGAUAAUGACGGUACCCCAAGAAGAAGCUCCGGCUAACUUCGUG
rnacentral:rRNA from 1 species